AGUGAACGCUGGCGGUAGGCCUAACACAUGCCAGUCGAACGGCAGCACAGUUAGAGCUUGCUCUUACGGGUGGCGAGUGGCGGACGGGUGAGGAAUACAUCGGAAUCUACUUUUUCGUGGGGGAUAACGUAGGGAAACUUACGCUAAUACCGCAUACGACCUACGGGUGAAAGCAGGGGAUCUUCGGACCUUGCGCGAUUGAAUGAGCCGAUGUCGGAUUAGCUAGUUGGCGGGGUAAAGGCCCACCAAGGCGACGAUCCGUAGCUGGUCUGAGAGGAUGAUCAGCCACACUGGAACUGAGACACGGUCCAGACUCCUACGGGAGGCAGCAGUGGGGAAUAUUGGACAAUGGGCGAAAGCCUGAUCCAGCCAUACCGCGUGGGUGAAGAAGGCCUUCGGGUUGUAAAGCCCUUUUGUUGGGAAAGAAAAGCAGCAGGUUAAUACCCCGCUGUUCUGACGGUACCCAAAGAAUAAGCACCGGCUAACUUCGUG
rnacentral:rRNA from 1 species